GGCGAGAUGGCCGAGUGAUCUAAGGCGCUGGUUUUAGGCACCAGUCUCUUCGGAGGCGUGGGUUUGAAUCCCACUCUCGUCA